ensembl:lncRNA
GUGGCAGAGUUUGGGGUGAAAAAAAAUCUCCUUUAUCCACCUUUUUGUUUUGCAAUCACUCUAGUGUACACUAGUUAACCUGAGAUAAUGAACAAAGCUACAUUGAUUUGCAGUGUAUGAUACCUGUUUGUCACACCCACAGCUCUCCCCUGCCAGUCUGGUGACAUUAGCAUACACAGCUAUGAGGGACACACCUGGCAGUGCGUGUGUGCAUGUGUGUCUCCAUCCAUGCGUGAGUUGUGCGUCGGCAGCGAUAUGAAUGGGCAGAGAGGGGUGUUCACUCACAGACACCAUAGCAGCAGUGAGAUGAGGAGUGCCAUCCACUCCACUGCACGUCUGCUCUACUGAGAGAAAGAAGAGGGGAGAAGGAGGUUAUACAACUAAACGGCAAAGUGAUCCAUCUCAAACAGACAUCACAGAAAAUCAGCAGCACUGAGAAAAAUCAGCCAUGGAGCAGAAGACAAAUGAGUGUCCCACCACCACCUCUCCUCAGAAGCAGAUGAAGAACAGGUCCAAGUCCACAGAGGAGAUGCAGCAGUCAAAGAAGGCCUUUUCCUCACAAAAAUCACUCCCAGGCAGGCCAGAGCUGGACAGAGUGAAGGAGUUUCCUGAUGGCUCCGACACACCUUCCUCCUCCACCGAAGAACUAAAGUGACAAAUAAAACCGUCAGGACAAUGAAGUUACCAUAAAACUACACUGUCAUCAUAAACAUAAUAUGUCACAUGUACAUAUGUACACAGGAGCACAAACAGCAUAUGAGGUAGACUAGGAAACUGAACACACACACACACUGAGACAAUCGCAUGUAAACAAAAGGACACCUGUGAUGAAGCUGUGUUGUUGUACUGUGAAUGGUGUACACAUGCCAACUGAAUGUGUAGUUACAAUAAAG